rnacentral:rRNA from 1 species
UGGGGAAUAUUGCACAAUGGACGGAAGUUUGAUGCAGCGACGCCGCGUGGAGGGUGUAGGCCUUCGGGUUGUGAACUCCUUUUUCUCGCGAAAAAGGCACAGUUUUGGCUGUGUUGAUGGUAGUGGGGGAAGAAGCGCCGGCUAACUACGUGCCAGCAGCCGCGGUAAUACGUAGGGCGCGAGCGUUGUCCGGAUUUAUUGGGCGUAAAGAGCUCGUAGGUGGUUCGUCGCGUCUGUCGUGAAAGCCAGCAGCUUAACUGUUGGUCUGCGGUGGGUACGGGCGGGCUUGAGUGCGGUAGGGGUGGCUGGAAUUCCUGGUGUAGCGGUGGAAUGCGCAGAUAUCAGGAGGAACACCGAUGGCGAAGGCAGGUCACUGGGCCGUUACUGACACUGAGGAGCGAAAGCGUGGGGAGCGAACAGG